UCUCUAAACCCUAAACCGUUCUCUCCCGUGUCGCUCUCCUCCCGAGCGGCCCUCUCUGGAGCUCCCGAACGUCACGCGAUCGCCUCCUCUCGCGAAUGGUCGAUCUGUUUUCUCCCCUUGCAGCGCGGGCAACUUUUUUUCAUUGACCAGGGUGGUCUAGAAUUCUUUAAACCGUGAUGGAUGAUUCUAUUGGUUUCACUGAUCGAAGAAAUUAGCUGAUCCGGGAGGGAGGUGUUGAUUUUGUGCUAUCCUACCAAGUUUCACAGAAAAUUAUGCUUGCGACAUCUUUCAAAAAUGUUGAAGCGAUGACUGUCGUUAGUUUCCAAGUGUGUCCUCACUCCGAGCAAAAUUUCAGGAUUCAAAAGAUUCAAAAGUGUGUCCUACUAGCUCCCACCAAGCUCAAAAAGCUAUUAUUGAGGUAUCUCUGGAAUAUCGAGAAGAUUUUUCAAGGCUUCAGGUGCUGAAUCAGGC